AUGGAAAAAAUUAACGUUAGUUCAACCACAGCACGCGCCCACGACUUAUACACAGCGAGUGACAAAUGCAAUGAAAUAAAAGCGACAUUGUUGACGAGAGUCGAAGCGCCAAACGGUCGAAAGUUUUCCGUUGCCGUCGUAACCAGGGAGCCGCAAGUAAUGAACACUAUGGACUUUGAUUCGUCAUCACAGUCUGAGAAUGAAGAGAUUGCCACAAUAUAUCAAAGGCCCGCUGGUCUUUCCUUGACUGUCUCUGAGGACUUUGACCUACUCUCAAUGGAUGACGAUCAUCUAGAGCGGCUGUGGAAACCUGUAGCUCUGACCCGCAGGACAGAAGAGAGUGAGCAAUUGGAUGGCGAUGAAAAUGUGGAAGGCUCUACUGUCACGCAACGACAACUCGCUGAUGUCCAGGGAGACGCUCCUCAGACGGGCCUCGUGGAGUCAGAUGCCUCCGUGAGACCAAACAACACACAAACAACAACAACAACAGCUGAUCAGCAAUUGACCGUUCUGUCAUUGGCAAGGUUUGACCAGUGGGACUUGGACGAUGUUCUCAAAAAUCUGGACCGGCUACCUCUGCAACAACAUGUGUCAGUUGAACCGCUGGAAACACAUGCAGAUGGCGACAAGGAGAAAUCCGAAGCAAUCAUAAUGGAGAGACUAGUUGCUUUUUGUGACAUCCAGUCAUCAAAGAAUGAGUCAGAGCUGAUGGAAAGUCCAAACCACAUCAAGCAUACCAAUGUGGGGGAAAAGUCAUCGGGGAGUUUGGAAGACGAGCUGCGGCCGAGGCAGAAGGAAUGUCCCACUGUUUACAUUGACCUGCGUUGCUCUGAUUCUUCAAUAAAAACACCAAGAACAUCCCCAAAUCCUCCAUCAGAGUCCAAGUCACCAGCCAAACGCAGCAAGCACCACGAAACACCAAAGAAAGUCAAUCUUAAAGUGCAUCAUGCAUCAUGCACGGAUGACAGAGAAGUGACUGGAAAGAAUAAGCUGCUUCAGAAGAUCAGGGAGAUGAAGGGAAAUGGAGAUAGAUAUCCCAACGAAUGUAUGGACCCAUCUCAUUCAGUGCCAGAGAAUGUACUGGAAAAACUGAACGCGGCGCAACCGCAGGCUGCAGAGUCUGCGUGUGGACAGGAGACACACAAACAGGGGGGAGACAAUCAAUCUUCUUAUGUGCAGUUUGAAUACAGAACGACUGAAAUGGAAACCCCACCUACAUCUCAGCAAGGACCAAUCAAAAAACCGGAGCAGCAGAGGUGCGCCUUUUUUCUUUAUUCAUUCUGCACAUCUCAAAUAAACUGAUAUUUUAGCCGUGACAAUAUUUUUUUGAUAGUGACCAACAGAGACCAGAAGUUAAGCAGAAAAAUGCACGUGAGCAACACCAACAGAUUCCUGAGCAACUGGAAAGACAUCGUCCACUCAAAUCAGUCAAUCAGAAGCGGCCAGCCGCCGAAAAGACCGACGUUCUCUACGACUCCGUGAGAGCCACAAAACUCAAAAUUGUAAAGUUCUCGGGAAAAUGGCCCACACUUACGUCACGAUGUCUUGUUUUUUAGGAAGCGUCUCAUUUACAGUCCAUCAGUACUCUACCAACGGGGCUAAAGAGUAAGGGACGCAUGCUACUGAUCGUUGACCUCUCAAGUCCUGGCGCGGUCGGAUCCAGAGCUCACGGGAAGAGAAAACAUCAGAUUUCAGCGGCAACCAAAUCGCACACCUACAACACUUUGGUGGCUUGGUUUCUGUCUUUGGUCAGCGAGCCGCUGCUUCUGUCUCCCGACCCGUGUCGAUGUUUGUGAUCAUAACGCUGAGCUUCGCCGCGUGAGGGUCACUUGCUUACGUGUUCCAGGUUGGCCGCCCACUCCACGAUGAAGACGAGGCUGCUGCCAAGGUCCCUUUCUGGGUUGCAGGACUCCAGCAGCAGUGGACAGACGAUGGACAUGCUCUGUUUGUCGUGGUUGUGGCUCGUCACUCUUACGCACCAAAGGUGGACAGCAGAAAAGCCGUUAAAACCCCCCCGAAAAGAAUCACAUAUACUCUGUGGGCUUUACGAUAAGCGUACUGACGCUGUUCCUCUUGUUUGAUUUGUAGAAAAGGAACAAAGACAUCCAUACACCUUUCUACAACCACGUCUGCAGCUUCCUCACUGAGACCUCGCUCCCUCUGAUCGCCAGCUGGGUACCGGCGGUCAGAAACCUGCUGGACCAACAAGCCUUCGCCUCCCCCAUCCAUCUGCCGUCAUGCAGUCUAAACGGUUUCAUCUCCACCACCUCCAACCAAAAGGUGAUUCAGGGAAAAAAUGGGCCUAUGAUUUACCACUGGAUUCUGUUGACUGUGUUGGGCUCCCUUAACCUUGUCUUUCAGGUUAUUGACAGGACAUUUGGUCUCGACCCCGGCUUUUACUGGCAGACUCUGGAAACUCCGGAGCAUGUUUGCAGGGGGAGAGAGACCACACAAGCGCUGCACACAGAAGUGAGCGUGUCCGUCAAUGCGUCUUUUGAUCCCAGGAAGUACUAAAUCAGAGGUAGUGAAGGCUGGGUAACUAAAUAAAUGCCGCUCCUAUUUCUGCUGCAGGUAUCUGUCGCUGUGGGGUGCGAAGCAUUCAUCCUCCAUCCUGUCAUAACACACUACACCCUCCAACUGGUUCUUGAUUCGGGACUCGAUGUGUGUGGUCUGCGGCUCCUUUAUCCAACACGGGAGUUCCUGAGUGAUAGGGCUGGUAAGACUUGACUAAAGCUGUCUGAUCAUAAAAUACCAAAUAACUCCGACUGUGUCCUACAGGUCCUUUGUCAGUGUCUUUGUCCGACUCAUAGGUGCUGGACCAGUUCUUCAGAGAGCCGGUGCGACCUGCCAGCCUGUCCUGGCCCUUGCUGUGCGGGGCCUUCGUGCCCACUCCGUGUUGAGCAAUCUGACUAGUUCCUCGGACCCUCUGGUGCCCGGAGGGACCGACCCUCUGGAGCCUCCUCUCUUCUUCUCCUCUCGACCGGCCAGCCAGGUGCACAGGGAGCUGUGCUUGUGGUUUUCAGGAAGAGUUAGCCCUUACAACCGGCUCCCGAGCAGGUUUGUUGUCAAAAAGUCAUCAAAUUGUGUUCAAAACUGAUCUGAAAACCGGAAAUGUUUGAAUCAGUCCCUGUCUUUUCUUUGUAGGGUUGUUCCCUCGAAUGAGCGAAGAGGAGUCUUUCUGUGCGCCACAACGAAAAGUACAGUAACCCAAAUGAAUUCCAUUUUCUACUUUCCUCUUUACUACCCUGACUGCAGCAAGGAUCAAACAUUUUACACGAGUAGAGCCGCUAAUCCCUCUGUACCCCUUGUGCUCCCCCCGCACAACCUCCUGGUGGUGUCGCCUGCUAUGCCUCCAUGUUGCUUCGGCCAAGUGCUGGCAGUGUGUGAACGCAGAGGCUUCGGUCUGGGGGGGCUGCAGAGGCUGCGGCUUCAGAGCAACGGCGCUGCAGACCUGGGACUCUCCGAGCAGCAGGUACGACUACAAUCACGCAAUAGUGGAAUUUCACUAUUUACCAGAGACACUUGUUGAGGUGAAAUGGAUUUUGUUGAUACAAACUUAGAGCAAUGUGAUAACAAAACGGGACAGUUGUGAUGCACAACGUGUACUGCAUGUUUUUCAUAGAAGCCUGUGUAUAUUUCUAGGCUCGAGUGUUCUGCAUUCCACGCCGGGGUCAGCUGGAGCUGCUCUCUCCCUGUCUGGUGUUGUUACUGAGGAAAGAAAAUGCUGUGCACCACACUGUUUGUCUGCCAGCAGGUCUGAAUUCCAUCUCAAAUGAUCUCUAAAGCACAGUGCAAAUAAACAUCUGUCCUGCAAAUCCAAUUGAAAAAGAAUUCUGGGGAUUGUUUUUUUCUGCUGUAUUUAUAAUUUAAGAACAGGUAAGGAAAAGGAUUUAGGCAAAUGACAGAAACAUACAAUUUUUCAUGUUUUAGUACUCAAUUCAGCCACAAGAGAUUAAAGGAAGAAACAUACAUUAUUUUCAUUUUCAUCAAGAGCAACCUUGCAAAACGUUUUUCUUCUCACCUUUUCUUAAAAGUAAAAUUGAUCACCUUUUGUGCAGUGAUGAUUAACUUUUUUUAUUCCCUCUUGUGGGACAUUCAGGUUUUCCAUAAUGUGUUACUUUGUUGUUCCAGCCCUGAUGAGAGAAUUUAAGACACCAAAGCUUCUGGGUCGCAUCCGGUCCAGAGUCGAUGGGGUUCGGGCAGCGGAGCCCAGCUUGUGUUUCCACACUGCGCCUUACAGCAGCAACCUGUACCACGUCUUUGGUACGUAGCACCUGUUCAGUGAAGCAGUAGAUGCUCCUCUGCUCUUCCCCUUCACAUGUCUUCUGUAUGUUUUUUUUUUUUUGACCUUCUGUGGAAAGGACACGAGACGCGGCCUGAGCCUCUUGCACAGAGUGCUGACAGAGGAGCCAGAAGGUGGGCGAAGUUCACCUGCAGCACAGCUUGUCCUGCCUUUUGAAACCGAACAAACCAAAUACACACAGCAGCCCACACAGUUUAAUGAAUGAACAGAGCAGCGAGAUUGUGAGUGAGUUAUUUAUUUAGAAAUCGUUCAUUUCGAUUGCAAUGAUCAUGCAACAUACAGGAUUCCAGCUGCUCGGCCUGAAGUGGCUGCCUGCGUUGACUCUGCUUCAGGCUCGGGAGCUGAAUCCAUACGAAGUGGGGCAGCAGCUCUUUCAAGACAGCGUGGGCCAUCUGAUGCCCCGUCCUGCCCUAGUGUGUGCUCUUAAACGCGCGGAUGCUCUGGCUUCACUGAGGAAACUCUUACCACAAGAUUACCCCGGGGACCUCAGUGUCCUGAUGUCCCCCACGCUUUCAGACAAGCCCCCCUGUUCUUCUUUGAGCACGAGAUGAUUGCUGGUAGGUUUGAGGGCUGCAUACAACAUGCGAUCAGAUACUGAGUCUAAAACCAUUCGAGUCUUUUGAGUCAAGCGCCAGAUUGAAGAAUUAUUUAAGAAGAAAAGUCUUGUGUGUGUCCGACGAGAUAUAGUUUGUGCAGCACAGGGCAUUGUGCCAAAUGAUAUUAUCAUAUUAAUAGCUUACUAAGUUACAGUGAAUUCUGUUCCAAGUUGAUGCGAUAAUAAAGAGGAUUCUGUUCAGACCUUCAGAUGCUGGUCACUUUGUGCCUGUUCAAGCCAACAAUCUGGAAUCACUCGCUGGCUAAAAUAGCCCACAAACUGCAGCUGUGUGGCCUCACAAUGGUGGGCCUGCGUGUGUUGACCCUGGAUAAACGCACUGCCACCUCACUACUGCCUGCACAGAGUGUAACUGAUCAUCAUUAUCCCUCUCAAGCUUUCCAUUGAUACAAAAAUGUAAGGCCUCGAUGGUCCAACACGCGUUCACUGCUGCGUGCAGGACCCCUCGGACUUGGAGGCCCACGUGGGGUACCUGUGCUCCGGCUCCUCAUUGGCUCUCUGCCUCCGGGGGGAAAAUGCUGUAAGCAGGCUGCUGGAUGCGCUGGACCAAGAUGUCUCGUCACAGUGGACCCAUCGUGGCGUGGCUCAUUCAUACAAUGGCAUUUAUGGUCAGUGCGCGGUUCUACUAGUGCACACUGCUACACGAUUAAGAAGUGCAUUGCUAUGUGUGCAACAGCACCGGUGUAUUAUGCAAAGCCCUUUGAAUUACCUUCAACUUGUCUCACGGCCCUGUAUGAUGAAACAGCCUGUAACCAAUU
ensembl:lncRNA